ACAAUCUAGCUACGAGUUUAACUUUUUCCCUGUAGCUUGGAAAUCUUAGCAGUAGGGACCUGUGAAAAUAAACUUAGCCUCCAUUUCAGGUUUGAGUUUCUUUCAGCCACGAUCUGCCCCCUUACUUUUUGAACAUGCAUUUAUUUCACAUAAAAUGUAGUUUAUUCUGUAGAAAUCACCUAUUACAAAAUUGUAGGCAAAGAAAAGUGCAGAAAUAGGAUAAUAAUCACUUUUUUUUUUCAGAGACGGUGUCUUGCUCUGUUGCCCAGGAGUGUGGUGGUGUCAUUACAGCUCGCUGCAGCCUUGAAUGUCCCCAGGCUCAGUCGAUCCUCCUACUCAGAUUCCCAAGGCUGGGACUACAGGCUGGAGUGCAAUGGCGUGAUCUUGGCUCACCACAAUCUCCGCCUCCCAGAUUCAAGCAAUUCUUUUGCCUCAGCCUCCCGAGUAGCUGGGAUUACAGGUCUCUGCCCUCGCAGUGUUUCUUCCAGCCUUGCCUGAGGACUAGAGGGAAGCAGGAGCAGCAGAAAGAAGCAUGACAAUCAAAUCAUCUUAGGUUCAAAGCCUACAGAAAUUAACCAGAAUCACAGCGGAACCCUGGGGUGGGUUUCAUUUGCUUCUGAGAUCCAAGGACACUGUCCUUUCGCCUAGUUCAGACGUUUCUCUCCUGCUUUUCUCCUAGCCAUUGUUAGCUUCAGCAACAAGCAAUCAACUUUGGUAAGGAUGGGUCAUUUCGUUACACACCCACAUCUCUGAAAAUGCGGGUUCUCUGAGUGGGUGGCCCGGAUAGCAUUGUUCACUAGAACACAGCAGCAGGGAGCGCGAGGUCCCAGGCUCAGUCCUGGGGGGCUUCUGCUGAGUCGCCCUGUCACCGACCUGCUCACUUUCCUCUCACUGCUGCUCGUCCUCUUUCCCUGCAAAAUGUUGCUGUAACCUUCCAAAUCUUAUCCAAGUCUAGAGCAAACUCAAGCUUUUUUGUUUUUUCUUCUCUGUUGAUUGACUCAAUUGACUCUUUCCAAGUCACUUUAGAAAUACCCUUCUCCAUUGUUUGGAAUCCGUUUAUAUGAAAAACAAUUGCAAACUAUCUUAACUCAAUCCCAUCUCUCCUCUCCCCUUCUAUCUACUACUGUGUUCACUGCACACCCGCCCGCCGAUGGAGGAGAAUGUAGACAAGGUCUCCUUCCAUUGGUUGGACCACUCUUCGGAGGUGAGUUGUCAGUUCCACCGUAGCUGUGAUGAAGACACAUUAGGUUUUGCCCAUGCAGCCAAAGUCUCCCAAGGAAAGACUCUUACCAAUAGUUCAUUCCUUGUGUCUCUUUAACAAUUUUCCUGGCACAGAUAAUCGCAUCUGUGAGGUCAUCAGUGAUCAAGGCUGUAAAAGAGACGACAUCAGGGUCAGGUGAGAUUUUGUUGUUGGAGAGGGACCCAACUCAAGUUCACUUCACUUUUCUCACUCUUGAUGGAAUGGAGGUUUGGAAGAACCGUGAUUUUCCCUGCAGAGCCACAGUCUCAUUUUUGUUAAGCUUCUUUAUAAUUAAAAGAACUUUGUUUUUAUUUUAAGACCAUCUUCAUCUUACACUACCUGAUGUUUCAGAAGAAGAGCCCAAUCCUGAAGGGUUUUUGGAAAUGUGUUUAAGAAGAUGUCAUGUGAAAAUGCUUUUUUUGUAUCUUAAAGAAAUAGGUGCAGGCCAGGCAUGGUGGCUCAGACUUGUAAUCCCAGCACUUUGGGAGGCCAAGGUAGGGGGAUCACUUGAGGCCAGGAGUUUGAGUCCAGUCUGGGCAACAUAGUAAGAUCCCAUCUCUACAAAAAGUAAAAAAUUAGCCAGGUGUGAUGGUGCACACCUCUAUUCCCUACUACUUGGGAGUCUGAGUUGCAAGGAUCACUUGAGCCCAAGGGGUGGAAGCUGUAGUGAGCCGUGUUCACACCACCACACUCCAGUCUGGCCAACAGAGUGAGACUCUGUCUUAAGGAAAAAAUAAAAGGCACAUAAGACAGGAUAGUACAAUGUUUUCUGUAUUUGGGUUAGUUUGACUUGUAAGAUCUCUUUAGAGGUAAAUAUUAAACUUUUGUCUAUUUUCAUUUCAGUUGGUGCCUUAAAACUUUUUUAUCCACUUUUUUUUUUCCUUUUGAGACAGAGUCUCGUUCUGUUACCCAGGCUGGAGUGCAGUGGCAUAGUCUCGGUUCACUGAAGGCUCCGCCUCCUGGCUUCAAGCAUUCUCCUGCCACAGCCUCCCAGUAGCUGGAAUUACAUGUUUGUGCCACCAUGCCAGGCUAAUUUUUGUAUUAUUAUUAUUAUUAUUUUUUGAGAUGGAGUUUCGCUCUUGUUACCCAGGCUGGAAUGCAAUGGCGCGAUCUCGGAUCACCGCAACCUCCGUCUCCUAGGUUCAAGCAAUUCUCCUGCCCCGGCCUCCUGAGUAGCUGGAAUUACAGGCACAAGCCACCAUGCCCAGCUAAUUUUUGUAUUUUUAAUAGAGACAGGGUUUCACCAUAUUGGGCAGGCUGGUCUCAAACUUCUGACAUCAAGUGAUCUACUCACCUUGGCCUCCCAAAGUGCUGGGCUUAUAGGUGUGAGCCACUGUACCCAGCCUAGGGUGUUUUUCAUAUGCAGAAAGUUUUAAGUCAAAUGCAUCUAUCUCUAUCUUUAUUACUUUUCCAUUUUUUUUGAAAUAGGAUCUCACUCUUGUCACCAGACUGAAGUGCAGUGGCAUGGUCAUAGCUUAUUGCAGUCUCAACCUCCUGGGCUUAAGUAAUCCUCCCACCUCAGCCUCUUGAGUAGCUGGGACUACAGGCAUGCGCUACCAUGCCUGGCCAUUUUUAUUAUUUGCACUUAUUGUAGAGAGAAGGUUUCACUAUGUUGGCCAGGCUGGACUCCAGGGCUCAAGUGAUCCUCCUGCCUUGGCUCCCAAAGCGCUGGGAUUACAGCCCCCUCGGUGCCUGGCAAUUUAUUACAUUUUGUAUUGUUUCAGGCAUAACGAAUCUUUUGAUUCAAAUGCAUUAGUUGAUAUCCACAUUCUUUCCUGCUUGCCUGAAAGUGGCCUCAAAAUCCUUCUCAACACAAACAUGACAGAAAAAGGUAAAUAAAUUUUAAAAGUCCAAUAUCACUUCUAUUGCAAUUUGGUUCUCCAGGAACAGAUGCUAACUAAGAUGGAUUUGGGGUGCUAGAUAUUCCUCAGAGAUCCACAUCUAUGAAAGGAAUGGGGUGGGGGGAAGUGGGAUGGGCAGAUGAGAUGCAGACCCAGCAGUUCCUCAGGCAGCCCAGCCACGAGCUCCUGAGUGAGCACUGUCCAUUAGAGCUGUCCAAGUUGGACCCAUGUGCCCUGUCCACGUGCCCAUACUCAUGUGUCACUGGGUAUGGGCCACCCUGGAAGGGAACAGCCUGCAGCUGAGGCUGAUCCUGAAGCACGUGGCAGGUGCUGUCUGAUCAUCACACAACUGCAGAAGAGUCUUCCCUUAGCAGGGGAUCUGGGAGGCCCACGUCCAUGAACACCAUAACUGCCAAUUAAGGACAAAAACAAACUACUUGAUCUCAUUUCUGCUUGUCAAUUAAGCAAAGUUUUGUUUUGUUUUUUUAGAGGAUUGGGUAAUGCUUGAUGUUGACAAGGGUGCAGAGAGGCAGGUUCUCUGGAAUACUUGCGGGUGGGAGUAGAAUAGAUUCAACAUCUCAGGAAACCAACAUAGAAGCAUGUGUCUAGAGCCUUAAAGAAGUUCUUAUCCUUUCACCUAGUAACUUCUCUCUCAAGACGUAGCCCAAGGAAUAUUUCCAUACAAAGUGGUUUACUAUAACUUUAUUUAUAAGAGUUAAAAUGAAAAAAUCUAAUUGCCUCAUAAUCAAUGAUGUUCAAAUUAAUCAUAAUACUUUCAUAUAAUUCAAUAAAGAGGGAUUUGAAUUAUGUUUCCCAGGAUGUUUAAUAAUAUGGGGAAAUGCUCCCCACGCAAUGUUAAGUUCCCAGCAACAUAAAGAUAUCCAUCAAGAGCU